AACGAACGCUGGCGGCAGGCUUAACACAUGCAAGUCGAACGCAUCGCAAGAUGAGUGGCAGACGGGUGAGUAACGCGUGGGAACAUACCCUUUUCUACGGAAUAGCUCUGGGAAACUGGAAUUAAUACCGUAUACGCCCUACGGGGGAAAGAUUUAUCGGGGAAGGAUUGGCCCGCGUUGGAUUAGCUAGUUGGUGGGGUAAAGGCCUACCAAGGCGACGAUCCAUAGCUGGUCUGAGAGGAUGAUCAGCCACAUUGGGACUGAGACACGGCCCAAACUCCUACGGGAGGCAGCAGUGGGGAAUAUUGGACAAUGGGCGCAAGCCUGAUCCAGCCAUGCCGCGUGAGUGAUGAAGGCCUUAGGGUUGUAAAGCUCUUUCACCGAUGAAGAUAAUGACGGUAGUCGGAGAAGAAGCCCCGGCUAACUUCGUGCCAGCCGCCGCAGUAA
rnacentral:rRNA from 1 species